CCGAAGAUCGGAGGUUAAAUUCCUCCCUAGCGCC
rnacentral:tRNA from 2 species